rnacentral:tRNA from 1 species
AAGAAGUUAGUUUAAAGCCAAAACAGUUACUUUGAAAGUAAAAAUUGUAAAUUAUUCACUUCUUU